rnacentral:rRNA from 1 species
AACGAACGCUGGCGGCAUGCCUAACACAUGCAAGUCGAACGAGACCUUCGGGUCUAGUGGCGCACGGGUGCGUAACGCGUGGGAACCUGCCCUUAGGUUCGGAAUAACUCCCCGAAAGGGGUGCUAAUACCGGAUAAUGUCUUCGGACCAAAGAUUUAUCGCCUUUGGAUGGGCCCGCGUUGGAUUAGCUAGUUGGUAGGGUAAAAGCCUACCAAGGCGACGAUCCAUAGCUGGUCUGAGAGGAUGAUCAGCCACACUGGGACUGAGACACGGCCCAGACUCCUCCGGAUGGCAGCAGUGGGGAAUAUUGGACAAUGGGCGAAAGCCUGAUCCAGCAAUGCCGCGUGAGUGAUGAAGGCCUUAGGGUUGUAAAGCUCUUUUACCCGGGAUGAUAAGGACAGUACCGGGAGAAUAAACUCCGGCUAACUCCGU